UACGUAGGGUGCGAGCGUUAAUCGGAAUUACUGGGCGUAAAGUGUGCGCAGGCGGCCGAGCAAGUCGAGUGUGAAAGCCCCGAGCUUAACUUGGGAACUGCGCUCGAAACUACUUGGCUAGAGUGUGGCAGAGGGAGGUGGAAUUCCACGUGUAGCGGUGAAAUGCGUAGAGAUGUGGAGGAAUACCGAUGGCGAAGGCAGCCCCCUGGGAUAACACUGACGCUCAUGCACGAAAGCGUGGGGAGCAAACAGG
rnacentral:rRNA from 1 species